CUUCUGAUGGUAAUUAAAGAGAGAAAGAUCCAGUACAUAAAAGUCACACUUUGCAGGACGAAAUCAGUAUGCUAAAACUGGAAAUAAAUACAAUGAAAAAUCAAAACCAGGAAAAAGAGAAGACCAUUGAAAUUAUAAAAGAAAUGAAUGAUUUUCUGCGAAAAACAAUACAACUGAAUGAAGAAAGACUUGCAAAAACAAUAUCCCAACAUUGUGAACAACUUCUUGUUCUAAAGAGUGAAAAUAACUCGCUAAACACUCAAUUGGAAAAUGAAAAACUAAAAACCAAAACACUGAAAACAGAAGUUGAAUCCUGCCGUGGUAGACUGGAUGCUGCUGUACAAGAUCGUGGUCAAAGUCACAAGUCCAAGAGGGACCUAGAAUGCCAUUUCCAAGAGACAAGAGAGGAGAGAUUACAUUUAGAGGAGAGAUUAUCUCAACUACAAAGGGAAAACAUGUAGCUUCAACAGCAACUAAGUGUGUCUUGCAACAAAGCUGACAAUAAAGAGGAGACAUUAGUGAAUAUUGGAGGCCAGCUUCAGGACACUAUAAAAAGGAUUCAAACUGAAAAUGAGAAACAAUAAACAAACGACGAGUUAAUUGAUGAAUGGCAUCGUUUAAAAAAAAAAAGAAUAUAUAAGUAUGAAAAAGAGAAAGCAGCAAGAGAAUUAUCUUACAACAAGACAAAAUUCAACAAGUUUUCCUACCUUCAACCCAUGGCCUUAAAACGAAAGCAUAGACACUUAACUAGAAGCAUGGAGUACAAUCAGAAGCGCAGGAGGGUGAGAGAAUUCACCAGGGCCAGAGCAGACAGCAGAAUGGCAGACUGACAAAAAACACUGCCGAGGGGAGCAGCUAGCGGCAAGAAAGGUCUGUGCACCAUGUGGGACCCUCCCACAGCGGCCAGGGAUCGGACAGGUGCUCCAGAGGCUGUGCCAGCUUCGCACCCCACGCUCAACUGUUGUGCCACCGGGGAGGCCCUCAAUUGCAUUUCUUAAGCCACAAAACAUUUUAUUAUCUACAUCUCUCUAAUAUGUAUGCAUCCAUACAUUCAUAGUGAAGACAAUACACAAAGCCAGAAGGAGGAAUAUGUACGUUUUCUGCUACAACAUGGUGUCAAUCCAGAUAUUUUGGACAUCAGUGGCAACUCUGUGCCCCACUAUGCAGUUGAUAACGAAAUCAGUUGAUAAUAACUAAGCUACUUUUACACAAAACGAAUAUGGAAGCACAAAACAAGGUAUAGACCAAGUAACACUAUUUACAAAUAUAUGACCCGCAUUUUUUUUUUUUUUAAUAUAAGCACUGUGUACAGUCAGAAGCACGGGAGGGUGAGAGAAUUCACCAGAGCCAGAGCAGAGAGCUGAACAGGCAGACUGACAAAUUACACUGCAGUGGGGAGCAGCGGGCUGCAGGAGAGGUCUGGCGACAUGUGGGACCCUCGCUUGGAGGCUGGGGAUUGAACCAGCGCUCCAGAGUUUGUGCCAGCUUUGAACCACAGCACUCAACUACUGUACCAACGGGGAGGUCCUGAAUUGCAUUUCUUUUGCCACAAAACAUUUUAUUAUCUACAUCUCUUUUAUUUGUAUGCAUGCAUACAUUCAUAGUGAAGACUAUACACAAAGCCAGAAGGAGGAAUAUGUAUGUUUUCUGCUAGAACAUGGUGCCAAUUCAGAUAUUUAGGACAUCAGUGGCAACUCUGGUCCCCACUAUGAAGUUGAUAACGAGAGUAAGUUGAUAACAUCUAAGCUGCUUUUACACAAAGCAAAUAUUGAAGCACGAAACAAGGUAAGGACCCAGUAACAUUAUUCACAAAAUAUA